UACGUAGGGUGCGAGCGUUGUCCGGAAUUAUUGGGCGUAAAGAGCUCGUAGGCGGUCUGUCGCGUCGGUCGUGAAAACUUGGGGCUUAACCCUGAGCUUGCGGUCGAUACGGGCAUGACUGGAGUUCGGCAGGGGAGACUGGAAUUCCUGGUGUAGCGGUGAAAUGCGCAGAUAUCAGGAGGAACACCGGUGGCGAAGGCGGGAUCCUGGGCCAGUACUGACGCUGAGGAGCGAAAGCGUGGGGAGCGAACAGG
rnacentral:rRNA from 1 species